GCUUGGCCGACUGGACGCUCGUGCGGUAUUUGACCUCCUGGAUGAUGGCACGGAGCUCCUCGGGGGCUUUGGGAAGCAAAGAAAACGCUUACAGUACUGCCCAUAUUUUAGUCCCUGGGCCAGCAGGGGGCAGCACAGAGCUCCUGCAGGAAUCCGGAUCCGGUGUUGCAGCGGCCCAGGAAGGCAUCCGGCCCGGACGCCUCCGUGGAGCUGUCCCAGCUGUCCAAGUUUCUCCUACCGCUGUACGUGUCGUACAGCUCCACGAGCAGGCAGUCCACGAUGGACGUCCUCGGGGUGGUCGCGUCGGGGUCGCUGUUGUCGGACGCAGCAGGGUCUGGCGGCGAGGGUGACGUUGGAGGCGGGGAACCACUGCGGGAGCCGCCAGACGAGCCAGCCGGACCGAUCCACCGCUGGAAGCCGGAGAAGUCGUCCGAGCUAACCAAACUGUCGCAUAUGUCAACUCCCAAAAGUUGCACCUCGGACGCCAUGGCUGAAGUUGGACGAGCGACUUUGUGCACGCACGAUUUGGAAGUUUUGCUUAAGUUGUGGGCUCGCUCAUCGCUCCGUGCAAACUUUUCACACUUCCUUCCUCAAGCCACGCAAUUGGCCGGCCCACAUUCAGGCCAACGAACUCUGCCAAAGUUCGGCUGGUGCGACAGGUGCGACAGCUUUGAUCGACCAAUCAGAGUGCAGCUCCUAAAGACAUGAACGCGACCAAUCAGAGGCCAGAUCCCCAAAGUGCAAAAGAGACCAUUCCAGUUUGUUCCUUGCGGCCACGUUGACAUUUCUUCCAAUUCUUGGUGCAUGGGCGUAGGUUUAUAUUGGUAUGGCAGGGACAUAUCACAACCAAUAUUUGAGGAAUACAAAAUAGUCCCUGACUAUAUUUACAAUUUUAUUUUAAUCCAGCAAAAAUCUAAGGUUUAGAAAUGUAUGAGAAUUAAAUUGAUUUGUUGAAAUAUAUCUACAUUUAUGUUUUAAAAUGAGUUAUACUUAUCCAAAUAAAAAAAAUAAAAAAAAAAACAGCCAUGAGGUGUACCUAAUAACAGUUCUUUAGUUUGGAACUGUGGAAAAAAAAAAGUCUCCACUCUCAGUCAUGGUUGUACAGGUCAUAUUUUAUUCCAUGUGUGCUUUACAGGGUUAUAAAUAAUGGCAUAAAAUUACAAAAAUCAGCGUGCUGGAAGCUCCAAGCCUAUAUACAUGAAUGUCACUCCAAAUACAUUACCUAUAGAAUCAUCUAGCACGUGUCUUCCUUUUUGUCUUUGUUUAGCUUUUGUUUCCAUUGCCACAAACGCUCGGUCCAUCUUUUACAUUACAGCUAUCAACAAUGAGUUGGCAAAAUAUUUAUGUACAUUUCAGAGCCUUGGAUCUUAUACGUACAGUAGUAGAACAAAGUCCGGAGAGGUGGGACGGAGGUCUGCACAUUCACGCUUCCUUUUGUGUAUUUGUUUUUUAAAGGAGGAGGGGGGCGGCCAGCAAUCUCAAA